rnacentral:rRNA from 1 species
UUUUAUGGAGAGUUUGAUCCUGGCUCAGGAUGAACGCUGGCGGCGUGCCUAAUACAUGCAAGUCGAGCGAACAGACGAGGAGCUUGCUCCUCUGACGUUAGCGGCGGACGGGUGAGUAACACGUGGAUAACCUACCUAUAAGACUGGGAUAACUUCGGGAAACCGGAGCUAAUACCGGAUAAUAUAUUGAACCGCAUGGUUCAAUAGUGAAAGACGGUUUUGCUGUCACUUAUAGAUGGAUCCGCGCCGCAUUAGCUAGUUGGUAAGGUAACGGCUUACCAAGGCAACGAUGCGUAGCCGACCUGAGAGGGUGAUCGGCCACACUGGAACUGAGACACGGUCCAGACUCCUACGGGAGGCAGCAGUAGGGAAUCUUCCGCAAUGGGCGAAAGC